rnacentral:rRNA from 1 species
GACGAACGCUGGCGGCGUGCUUAACACAUGCAAGUCGAACGGGCCUUGUCCCCUUUUUUUUUGGGGGUGGGGUUAGUGGCGAACGGGUGAGUAACACGUGAGUAACCUGCCCCUCACUUCUGGAUAACCGCUUGAAAGGGUGGCUAAUACGGGGUGUUCUGGCCUGCUCGCAUGGGUGGGUUUGGAAAGAUUCGACCGGUUUGGUUGUUUUGGUGGGGGAUGGGCUCGCGGCCUAUCAGCUUGUUGGUGGGGUGAUGGCCUGCCAAGGCUUUGACGGGUAGCCGGCCUGAGAGGGUGGGCGGUCACACUGGGACUGAGACACGGCCCAGACUCCUACGGGAGGCAGCAGUGGGGAAUAUUGCACAAUGGGCGCAAGCCUGAUGCAGCGACGCCGCGUGAGGGAUGGAGGCCUUCGGGUUGUGAACCUCUUUCGCCAGUGAAGAAGGUCCUGCUCUUUGUGGCGGGGUUGACGGUAGCUGGGUUAAUGAAGCGCCGGCUAACUACGUG